CAAUAAUUAUCAAAAAAAUGUUGAAUUUUGCACUUUGGUUAGCGUUAAAGGGGUAAUUAAGAAAAGGGGUGUGGCCAAACAUACCCCAAAGCUUAUAAAACCUAAACGAAAACUCAAAACUUUAUGAAACUUGGUGAAAACAUGUACCAGGUGACUCUCAACAAGCAUGCAAUGUUUCAUGGAGAUCGGACCAUAGGUGGCGCUAUAACAGUUGAAAAAGCCUCAAAAAAACACAUUUUCAAUAGAAAAUGAUCACAAUUUGUAGGACAUGUUCAUACAUUCAAACAAACACUAGAUCUUAACAUCAUAUGAUAGAUCUCCUCAUAAUGCACAACUUCGCCUCAAGAGCCAUUGCUGUCAAUCAAAUCGUUCAAUUGUUAUUCACAAAUAUGUUAAAAACCUACUUUUGCGAACUAGUUCUAGGUUUUUUGUUCGAUCGGAACCAAACCACUGCAGUAAUAUUCUGUGGACACUCUAGAUCAAUAAUUAUCAAAAAAAUGUUGAAUUUUGUACUUUGGUUACCGUUAAAGGGGUAAUUAAGAAAAGGGGUGUGGCCAAACAUACCCCAAAGCCUAUAAAACCUAAACGAAAACUCAAAACUUUAUGAAAAUUGGUGAAAUCAUGUAACAGGUGACUCUUAACAAGCAUGCAAAGCUUCAUGGAGAUCGGACCAUAGGUGGCGCUAUAACAGUAGAAAAGGUCUCAAAACACAAGAUUUAUAUGGUGAAUGGCCUCAAAUUGUUUGAAAAUGCUCAUAUAUUCACUCAAAAACACUAGAUCUUCAUAUCAUAUGAUAGAUCUCCUCAUUCUGAACAACUUUGCCUUUGGGACCAAUGUUGUCAAUAAAGCUGUUAAUUAAAUAUUCAAGAUUAUUUUAAAAAGUUACUUUGGCAAACUAUUGAUAGGGUUUAAGCUAAAAAUCAAUAAAACCACUGAAGUACAAGUCUCUAGACUCUGAAGGUCAAUAAUUAUCAAAAUCAUGUUGAAAAAUUGCAUUUGGACAACUAUAAACCAGUAAUUUUAUGAUAUGUUAUUUGCAUAGUGUACACAAAGGCCUAUUAAUACAAACAGAAAGCCCACAAAUUAUCAAAACUGUGUAAAAUAAUGCAUAAUUUCAUUCUAAAAAAGCAUGCAAAAUUUAAGAGAGAUUGGGCAAAAAAAAAAAAAAAAAAAAAAAAAAAAAACACAAUAA